GAUGAACGCUGGCGGCGUGCUUAACACAUGCAAGUCGAACGGAAAGGCCCCUGUUUGCAGGGGUACUCGAGUGGCGAACGGGUGAGUAACACGUGGGUAAUCUGCCCUGCACUUUGGGAUAAGCUCGGGAAACUGGGGCUAAUACCGGAUAGGACCUCCUUUUGGAUGGUGGGGUGGAGAGUUUUUCGGUGUGGGAUGAGCGCGCGGCUUAUCAGCUUGUUGGUGGGGUAGUGGCUUACCAAGGCGUCGACGGGUAGCCGGCCUGAGAGGGGGGACGGCCACAUUGGGACUGAGAUACGGCCCAGACUCCUACGGGAGGCAGCAGUGGGGAAUAUUGCACAAUGGGCGCAAGCCUGAUGCAGCGACGCCGCGUGCGGGAUGACGGCCUUCGGGUUGUAAACUGCUUUCGCUAGGGACGAAGCGCAAGUGACGGUACCUGGUGAAGAAGCACCGGCUAACUACGUG
rnacentral:rRNA from 1 species